rnacentral:rRNA from 1 species
AGCGAACGCUGGCGGCAGGCUUAACACAUGCAAGUCGAACGGGCGUAGCAAUACGUCAGUGGCAGACGGGUGAGUAACGCGUGGGAACGUACCUUUUGGUUCGGAACAACCCAGGGAAACUUGGGCUAAUACCGGAUAAGCCCUUACGGGGAAAGAUUUAUCGCCGAAAGAUCGGCCCGCGUCUGAUUAGCUAGUUGGUGAGGUAACGGCUCACCAAGGCGACGAUCAGUAGCUGGUCUGAGAGGAUGAUCAGCCACAUUGGGACUGAGACACGGCCCAAACUCCUACGGGAGGCAGCAGUGGGGAAUAUUGGACAAUGGGCGCAAGCCUGAUCCAGCCAUGCCGCGUGAGUGAUGAAGGCCCUAGGGUUGUAAAGCUC